UACGUAGGGAGCAAGCGUUGUCCGGAAUUACUGGGUGUAAAGGGAGCGUAGACGGCCAUGCAAGCCUGGAGUGAAAGCCCGGGGCCCAACCCCGGGAGUGCAUUGGAAACUGCCAGGCUGGAGUGUCGGAGGGGUAAGCGGAAUUCCUAGUGUAGCGGUGAAAUGCGUAGAUAUUAGGAGGAACACCAGUGGCGAAGGCGGCUUACUGGACGACUACUGACGCUGAGGCUCGAAAGCGUGGGGAGCAAACAGG
rnacentral:rRNA from 1 species